ensembl:processed_transcript 1110038B12Rik RIKEN cDNA 1110038B12 gene
ACGGUUUGUCCUGUUUUCACCCUUCUUUGCUCUCCACCGGUCUGGGCAGGGUCUGAGGACUCCGGAGAGCAAGGCAUGGGUCCGCCUCGUGCCGCAGGUUCCUGGCCCACGCCAGCCGUACCCAGUAGCACAAUGGGUGAGCUCUGAGGACUUAGCAGGGGCCCCAUCCCCUCACCUAGAUGAGGGCUAACCUUGGAAUCCAGACAAAGGUGGAAGUGACCUAGAUGUGACCUGAAUGAGCUAAUCAUCUAAUGAGAGCCAGCCCUUUGUCCUGCCCGCAUGAAGGGCUUUGCUGCUACGCACUGACAAGUUGGACGGCUUUUUAUUGCUUUGUUGCCAGUUAUCUGAACAUGAGAGGCUGUAAGGUGUAAUCUGCGAGCCCUGCGCCCAGACUGAACCAGGGCCUCCCUUGAACAUGAGUAUUAGACAAUGAAAUAAGAACUUAUCUUGCCCAGACUAUAUAAUGGCUUGGAAAUGCAUAGUUUCCUGAACGAUCUCAAUAAAAUACUUUUAAAAGUA